rnacentral:rRNA from 1 species
AGAGUUUGAUCCUGGCUCAGGAUGAACGCUAGCGGCAGGCUUAACACAUGCAAGUCGAGGGGUAACAGGGGAGCUUGCUUCCGCUGACGACCGGCGCACGGGUGCGUAACGCGUAUAGAACCUACCUUUUACAGAGGGAUAGCCUUUAGAAAUGAAGAUUAAUACCUCAUAGUAUUGAGACUUGGCAUCAAGACUUAAUUAAAGAUUUAUCGGUAAAAGAUGGCUAUGCGUCCUAUUAGCUAGAUGGUAAGGUAACGGCUUACCAUGGCAACGAUAGGUAGGGGUCUUGAGAGGGAGAUCCCCCACACUGGUACUGAGACACGGACCAGACUCCUACGGGAGGCAGCAGUGAGGAAUAUUGGGCAAUGGAGGCAACUCUGACCCAGCCAUGCCGCGUGCAGGAAGACGGCCCUAUGGGUUGUAAACUGCUUUUAUACAGGAAGAAACACUCGUACGUGUACGAGCUUGACGGUACUGUAAGAAUAAGCACCGGCUAACUCCGUGCCAGCAGCCGCGGUAAUACGGAGGGUGCAAGCGUUAUCCGGAAUCAUUGGGUUUAAAGGGUCCGCAGGCGGUCAAUUAAGUCAGAGGUGAAAUACCAUAGCUCAA